UGCCUAUGAUGUAAUCUAUAUUUGCUACUCUUGAUGUCACAAGAUGAUGAGUAACCACCAAGAUCUCUGAGGCA
rnacentral:snoRNA from 1 species